rnacentral:lncRNA from 1 species
CAAUACAAAUUGGUCCGAUCCAAUUAGAAUAGGUUUGACUCCAAGUAAUAUACUUUAGAAACCUAGUCCAAUCCAUUGCUUUUUGGCCCAACUAAGUGAUUUUAUAUGAAUUUCUAGCCAUUGCCUUAACAUAUAUUUGCCUCCAAAUUUUGAUUGAUUCCAUGUCUUAGUAAUGGGAGAGAUCGUAAGAACUAUUUUUUCGACUUAUUCAAAUAUAUUUGUCUUGCAUUUUAAUAAUUCUUUAUUUAUCCAUCAUUUGUCGCAAGUCAUGAUAAAAAGAAAAGGAAAAAAAGAGAAGUCAUGUCCUUAGGUAUUUUGAAUUAUAUAAUUCAAAUAUUUCACAACGUCCAACAAAAAACUUCUAAACGCAAAUGAAAUUGGUCUCUAACUUUACUUUUUCAACUUUUCGGUCCUCCCAAGCUUAUGGAAUUGUUGAUCUUGUAGUAGUUGAAUGAAAAUAAGAUGAAUUUUCUAAAAAUCUGUGAUUUGAGAUUUUAUCUACGAGUUUAAUAUUCUAUUAAAUAGGAAUAAUUCAUAAUCAUCCGGUUAGGAUCAAUCUAAACUAGCCUAUCUCACAUUGGUCCCUCAAUAAUUUAUAUCGACCCAAUUUUGCUUUUAUUCUCGGAUUUAAAAUAAAUAACAAAUGCUAUGACUUUCAAAAAAGUUUGUUGGAUAACUCAAAGAGGUCCCUUAUUUUAUUCUGUUUUGGCUUUAAAAUAAAUAAUAAAUGUUAUGACGUGGCUUUAUUGAGGCUCCAACUGUCCAGUAACAGAAGUUGAUGUCAAACCGGUCAUGGGCGGAGCCUAAUGAAGUCCACUGCGGGCAUAUAACUUUUGGGCUUAACAACCAAGGCCCAUAUUUUUUUUAAUGUUAAUUCCCUUUCCAACCCAGCCAAGAAUGGAAUCCCAAUAACCCAAUCAUUACAUACACCCAUUUUCAACUAAUUACAACCCAUUCCCCAUUCCAUUCAAAUUCAAUUUUCAAUUCAAUUCAACCCUUCCUCCAAUCCUUCGGUUCCACUGACCGUCGCCUCUUCACUCCGCCCAUUUGACUAUUGUGAAAGAAAAUGGCUAAAACUUGGGUUACAAGCAUCUUGUGAUGGAGAAAUUUUCCGCUAUUAAUGCCACGGAGUGAAGAAAUAAAAAUUUCUUCUCUGAUUCGGAUUGAUUAGGUUUUGGACAAAAUGGAUAGUUCUACUGGGGACGUGUAGGAAACUUAGAUUUACUCUUCUAGUUUCAUUUAAUAUAUUAUGUAAUAUUUAGGAUAGGGUGGUGUAUUUUCUCUACGUUGUUCUACAAUUUUAAUCAGGAAAAAUUGCAAAAUUCAAUUUUUAAUGUUAUUUUGAUUUGUGCAAAUUGUAAUAAUGUUUGGGUUUUUUUUUCUUUUUCUUUUUAACAUAUGAAAAUAGCACUUUGCUCUCCAAUUGCCCAAAGUGGAAUUGCCUAUACAUUGCUCUUCAAUUGAAUUUGCUACAAGACAUACAAACUUCCAGUUCAUUACUACCUUAGGCCCUCUGUGACUGUGAGUUGCUCACUGACUCAUUGGAAUUUGGAAAUAUUAUUUAUUGCCCUGUGAAAUGAUGAACUGCACUGUGAAUUGAUUAUAGUAUUGCCCUGUGAAAUGUGAAUUGCUUAUAAUAUUGCUAUGUGAAUAGAAUUGUCUUGUGAAUUGUUGGCCAAAAAAAUCGAUGUUCGACAUUGAUAAAAUUGCGCCUGCACUGAACUAAAUAUCGUGUCUUCACCCCUCGAACCAGUCGAAAUACCGAUGUGGAAGUUAUUUAUUAAAUGUUCAGCAUGCAUUGCUGGUUCAGGAGCCAAUAUUUUCCUAAUAAACCCAAUAGGCAAUUUUAAAUUGUAUACCUCAAAUUUUACUUCAAAGUAACUAACAAAAAUGUUUGAGUACGAAACUCUUCGGCAGAACUUCACUUGGCCAAAGAAGCCAAUGUGGAAAAGCUUUUUGUUAACAACGAUUCCCAACUAAUGGUGAGUUAAGUGAAAGGAAAGUUUAAAGAAAUAGAGAAAAGUGAUGGAGCAUUUAGAAAAUUUGAACUUGCCCAAAUCCCUGGAGUCAUAACAGUUGUACUGAUGCUGUUUCUGAGCUUGCAAGCUCCAAAGAUAACGGAAGCUAAUUCUUUUUCUUAAUAAAUAAAAAGUAAUUAGCAUAAAAUAUCCUUACCUUUUGAUGCUAUUUUGCACAACAUCCAUACCUUUCAUUUUUUAUUUUUGUAUUUUCAUCCUCACCUUCACCUUUAAUUGCUGAAAUCAUCAUUUUCAUCAAGUUUCUCACGUAAAAUGAUAAAUAUACCCCCUAUUUAAAUAAAACAGUAAAAAAAGAAAAGAAAAGUUAAAAAAUAAAUUGCAAUCAUGCUCGGAAACUUUUUACAAAAGUGCAAAUGAGUCUAAAUAAAUUAUUAAAAGGGUAAUUAGCACAAAACAUCUCUACCUAUCAAUGUUAUUGCAAAACGUCCUAAUUUCAUUUUUUGACAUUUUCAUCCUUAAAAGUGAGAAAGGAUCAACAAACUCUGUUUGAAAAUCAUUAGGCGAUCGAAAUCUGAUUCCAUUCUAGGUGUUAUCCCCAAUAAUGAAAAUGUCAAAAGUUUUAUGGAUGCCAUAUGAGAGAAAUUAAUUGAGUCUGAUAAAGCCGAAACUGGGGAUCGGAUGGAUAAAUUGAUGAGCAUGAAAUAUGAUGGUACAAGUGUUGUUAGGGAACCAACUGGAGAUAUGCCCUUCAGACUGUCUUUCGGGAUCAAAAUAGUUGUUCUGGUUGAAAUCUUGAGUAAGAUAGGUAGAAUGAAAGUCAAGUAGCUCAACAUCGCGACAGGGAGAACUCGACUUGCUCGAUGAGGUAAGAGAGAAUACAGCUAUAAAGAUGGUGAUGGUGGCUUACAAGCAAAGGUUGUAGAGUAUUUCAAUCGAAGGGUAAGAUCAAGUGUUUUCCAGCCAGGAGAUCUUAUAUUAAGGAACCAGUAGCACCAAGACACCAUUCGCUAAAGCUCGGGCCAAAUUAGGAAAGACCAUAUGCAGUGAUCCGCAGCCUUAGAAAAUGAGCUUACAGUCUAAAAGAUAUGAAAGGAAAAACCACUAAGCAGGCAAAGGAGUGCAGAGCAUCUCAAAAAAUAUUAUCAGUAGGUCCGUGGGUAGCGAUAUAAGCCACAUUCCUUAUAAAUAUAGUAGAUAUGUUGCUUUAUUAAUUUUCCUAAUGUAAUGCCCGUAGUAGGCAUGUUCCAUUGUAAUUAUUAAUGUUAUUCAAUGAAAGGCCUUGGUGGCGGCAGAUGAUAAGGGCGCUAAGGAAAGGUCAGCCUAGUUGGGACAUCUCGGUAUGCCUUCUGAGCUCCCAAAUCCUGGCGAUUUAUAUGUCAAUGUGCAUCUUUAAACUCCCCACGUUUACUCCACAAUGCUCUACAGUCCUAGUGGAGAACCUUCAAAACCAAAAAUUGGCUAUAGCCCUAAACCAUUUGACCCUACGGUCUACACUCAACGCAGCCCAAAAGGCUAGGUGAAGAUCAACAAGACCAAUAAAUUGGUUAUGAACUCGACAGCGCUCUAAGGUCGAUUGGCCCAAAGGGCUAGGUGAAGAGCCAUUAAAACCAAAAAAUUGGCUAAGGCCCUAAAUCGUUAGACCCUACAUUCGACGAUCGACAUAGCCCAAGUGGUUAGGUGGAGAGCUUUUGAAGCCAAAAUAUUGGCUAAGGCUUUAAACCACUCUCACAUUCGAUGGACGACAUAGCUCAAGUGGCUAGGCGAAGAGCCUUCAAAGACAAAAAUUAACUAAGGUCUUAAACUGCUAGACCCUACGCUCGACGAUCAACAUAAUCCAGGUGACUAGGCGAGAGCCUUCAAAUCCAAAAAAAAAUUUGAUAAGACCUUACGCCCGACAGUUGACAUAGCCCAAGUGGCUAAGCGGAGAGUUUUUAUAGUCAAAAAAUCGGCUAAGGCCGUAAACCACUGGACCCUGCGCUCGAUGGUUGACAUUGCCCAAGUGGCUAGGUAGAGAACCUUCAAAACCAAAAAAUUGGCUAAGGCCCUAAAUUACUAGACCUUAAGCUCGAUAGUCGACAUAGUCUAAGUGGCUAGGCAAAGAGCCUUCAGNNNNNNNNNNNNNNNNNNNNNNNNNNNNNNNNNNNNNNNNNNNNNNNNNNNNNNNNNNNNNNNNNNNNNNNNNNNNNNNNNNNNNNNNNNNNNNNNNNNNNNNNNNNNNNNNNNNNNNNNNNNNNNNNNNNNNNNNNNNNNNNNNNNNNNNNNNNNNNNNNNNNNNNNNNNNNNNNNNNNNNNNNNNNNNNNNNNNNNNNNNNNNNNNNNNNNNNNNNNNNNNNNNNAGAUUAAAAAAAAAAAAAAAAAAAAAAAAAAAAAAAAAUAUAUAUAUAUAUAUAUAUUGGCUAAGGCUCCAAACUGCUGGAUCUUACACUCUAUAACUUGACACAGUCCAACGAGCUUUGUAAUUUGUCAUCGUUCGAACAAUGGCACUAAACAAUCGGUUAAGGAUUGACAGUUGAAAUAGAAAAACUAAAAUUGCAGUAUGAAUUUGUGGUCACCAUUUGUGUUUUAACCACACAGCAAUCAACCCAUGCCCGCUGGCCGUGGAGUAGGCAGGCAUGUCUCCACCGACUGUCGCACUCACUAACUACUAUUCAAAUAAAGAAAGUUGUACGAGAAUAGGUGAAUUAACUUUUUCUCAUCAGCGAAUGAUGCCUAUAUAUCAAGAUAGAUGAAAGAGAAUUAAGCAACAAUAAUAUUCAAUGAGGAACCAUCCAUACUCAAAAUGAAGUGUGAUUUUCUAUCCACGUGCCGGACUAGUAGGAAGCAAAAGACUUUCAAACUACAAAAAUGAAUAGCCACAAAAAGGGCUAGAAAAUCUACAACUGAAAAAUGCUUCAACUCGAGUGGGAAGUCCCUUCGCUAGCACCUAGUAAUGUGUGCCUGAAAGUCUUAGAUUGAGGAGCUUCGACUUUCCUGCCUUUGCGCUCGCCAGAAACCUGUCAAAACCUAAUGGAUUGAUAGAAGGGUGCUUGAUGAAUAUCCACUCUUUAGCCAAUUCGAUGGACGCCGCCAUCGCUUUCCUCCCGUAUGAAUGCAAAGCAUUAGCACAAUCUGAUGUUGACUUGUACUGCUCCACAGACGUCGCCAGAUCCUUAGCAUAUUCCACAGAGGCCUUAUACCGCUCUACAGCCUCCUCUAGCGCCCAAGCCAAAAUGGAUCGCAGGUUGUCAAUUUUCAUCUCUUGCUCGCAAGCUCAAGAUUCCAAAGCUUCAAAGGACUUCUUCAAAUAAGAUAUUUUCUUCUUAUGGUGGUGAACUUCCUUUUUCGCAUCUUCCGUGAGAGCCUUUAACUCCGAUGCUUGGCGAUGACUCGACUCAAUAAGCCAAGUCUAAAGGGCCACUACCUAGCAGGCAGAGAGACAAAAUAGUAGACAAUUAUUUACCAUGUUUGAAAGGAUGAACUUAAACAUAAAGGAAGAUAUGUGACACGAAGUUUACCCUCUAGGUAUAGACCACCAAGGAUCUCUCUAUGUCAUCGACACUAUGUCCUGCAAAUAUCCUAGCCCUAGUAGGUGCCACCAAAGACUAGAGAAUCCCCAACUCAUGAUAACCUUGAGUGGGAGAAUCUAAAUUUAGGAAGAGGAGAGUUCUCAUGCUUACACCUAAUGCGGCUCAAGCUACCUCCUCUGGGACUUGGUAGCGGGAAAACUUCAACGGGCUCGCCCGAAGGCUGAGGAGUCUCUUGUGUAGCAUGAUAAUUUAAUUCUCGAUCAACAAUUUUCUUUAUCUUCGACGGAACAGGAGUUAGGUCCACAUAGCUCUCAUGCCUCGGCUCUGGCAUAGAAUUCAUAGUUUUUUCCAGGUCAAAUCUAUACCUACAAAUGCAAGUUAAAAUCCAUCAAGCUCAAAGAACCAUAAACGAAGGUGUAUACAAAUAUGAAAUAAAAAACAACAUAUCCAUGAACCUACCAUCGGUAAGAACGAAGCCCUCGUCACUCCCCAGCACAGGCAAUGUGUCCAACACCUCAUCCAAGUCAAAGUCUAUGUCUGCAUACGGGAGAUAAAGUUCGUUAGGCCCGAAGAAAAAAUGACAGGUAAAAACGUGUACGAGUGUAUAAGAAUGAACGAGGAAAAAGAGCCUACUAGUAGGUUGACUGAUCCCCACAAUCAGCAUGUUCCUCAUAAUCGCCCUAGUGAUAUGAUCCAGGCUAGGCGCCAAAUUCUCAAUUAUUUGACGACUGUUGGAGGUCAGUUAAUACCAUGAUUCAAGCUCAUUUGGAGGUAAAAAAGGGUUGAUAAAGAUGGCAAGUCUCACGACCAAGCUUUGAAAUUCAAAAUGUGGUAAUUAGCAUGCAAUGUAAUAAGUUCCAUUAUUGGCAGGAAGAGACUAAGUGCAAAGUCGGGUUUGAUCACAGCCAAUGAAAUCAUGCAAUCAAGCACCGAGGUUGCCGAGCUACCAAGGAUGAUAUUUGCAAGCUUAAGGUCGAGUUAAAUGUUAAUCAUAAAGGCAAAAUCAUGUUCGGUGUAUUGGAUUCAAAGUUUUGGAUGAUAUAUGAAAAAACGACCAGUGGGAUUAAAAUGGACAUAACUUUUAGCUCGAGUGACGGAUUUUCGCUCAUGAGUGCAAUUCGGAAUCGUCACGAAAUUUUGCACAAGGAGAAGGCAGUUUCAAAAAUUAAACUAUGCGACCACAUAGCUUAAAAGCCAUGCGACCGCAUAGGCUAUUACCGAGGCAAAAUUGAGGCUGACUAUUUGUUCUAUGCGACUGCAUUGAUUUAUACUAUGCGACUACAUAGUACACAUUUUUGGAUACGUUUUUAAUUUUUGGUAACUUUUCUUGUUUCCAUAAAAUUUGAUUCUAAUUAUUAUUUUCCAGUACUUAGAGCAUAAUUUUCGUCCAAGACAAUAUUUUUAGGAUUGGCAUAAAUAAUUUUCUCAUUAUUGAUUGUAUGAAAUUUUGACAUUUUGAGAGAUUAAUACAAGGGGCAAUUUUGCUUCCAAUUUCUUGUUCUUUGAAGAACAAAUCGAACUUGUCAAGAUUUGUUAAUCUUGUGGCGUUCAAAACAAAUUCGGGUGAGAUUUAUAAAUUGUGUAAUUAAGAGGUCAUUAAUUUCACAUAUUAAUGGUUCCUUAAUUCAUCGUUUGUGAAUUAAAUCCAAAAUUGAUGAUUCAUGGCUUUCUUGGGAUCCAUGUCAAUCUCGUUGUGGGUUCGUUAGUGGUCAUUGCUAUUGAGUUCACAUCAUUUGGUAUCAAAACUUAGGCUCCAAAAAUCGAAGGUUAUAUCUUUUCCCUUUCUUGUUGAGUCAGUUUUCUUUUUUUAUUAUUUUAGUUUUCUUCGUGUUCAUGUUAUUGUUGAGCCUUAGAUCUAUAAAAGUGCCAAAAAAAAUUUAAAUCUUGUUCUUGGGCUAAUCUAACGUCCAAAUCAACUUCCGUUUGUUCCGUUAGCAUCGUAGUCGAAUUUUCUAACUAGUGAGUCAAAAAAAAUUUACUGUUCAAUUUACUGUUGAAGUAAAAAAAAAAAUUUAUUGUUUGAAUUAUCUUUAUAUUCCUUCCAGUUUCAAGUUGUUCAGUCCAGUCAGUCAGAAAUUCAAGACCACUUCUUGAAUUUUCAUAAUUCAUUCCAAAUUUUCUGUCCAAUUCUUUGAGUCUUUACAAAAAUUCCCGAGUCUCACCCACAUUCCAGUUGAAUUUCCACAAGAUAUUGAAUUUGAAUUGUUCCUUGAAACAUUGAUUGGAAGCAGUGAGUGGAAAAAGGCUGAGUGAUGAGAUUUAUUGAGGGUAAAAGUCGAAAUUGAGUGAUUUCCGAGUAAACUUUGGUGAGGCAGAAAUAAAUUUUUGGAAUUUAGGAUGUCUGGCAGUGAAGGAUCGAAUUCAAGCGAAAUUGGUGGUCGAACAAAUAUGCCUGACGAUGUGAUGAGACGAUUUGAGAGGAUGUUAAAGGAUAUGGGUGAUAGGCUAGAUAGGCUUGAUGCGUAUGUCACCAAUCUUCAUAUGGGACCUGGUAGAUGAGGGCCUAGGGUGGAUACGCAUGAUGAAUAUGGGUAUGGUAGUGAUUUGGAUGAAAAUGAGUUUAAUGGAGUUGAAUUGGAAAGAAUGAGGAAUAGAGGUGAUCGUUUUGAGCGUCGGGGUAGGAAUAACUUUGGAGAUGAUGUGGAUGGAGGUAUGGGCAACAUCAAAAUGUCCAUCCUGCCAUUGAAAGGUAUGAGUGACCGGAAGGUAUAUUUAGAAUGGGAGAAAAAGGUGGAGCUUAUGUUUGAGAGCUAUAAUUAUUCUGAGAAUAAAAAGGUGAGGUUAGUAGUCCUUGAAUUUAUUGACUACACGAUCACUUGGUGGGAUCAGGUGGUGACGUCGAGGCGUAGGAAUCAAGAUAGGCCUAUCAACACGUGGGAUGAGUUGAAGGUGGUGAUGAGAAAAUGAUUUGUACCUGGCCAUUACUACAGGGAACUCCAUCAAAGGUUGCAAGGGUUGUAUCAGGGUUCUAGAAGUGUGAAGGACUAUCCAAGGAGAUGGAAAUCUUGAUGAUUAGGGCGAACGUGGAGGAAAAGUGGGAAGCCAUUAUUGCUCAUUUUCUAAAUGGGUUGAGCAGGGAUAUUGCUAAUGUGGUGGAGUUAUAGUACUAUGUGAAGUUAGAGGAUAUUUUGUAUAUGGCCAUGAAGGUGGAACGAUAGUUGAAGUAAAAGGGGACAGCUAGGAAUCAAUUAGGUCCUAAUUUAGCUUGGAGGUUAAGAGGGGAUGAUGAUAGAGUUGAUGGGGUUGUUGCAAACAAUAAAGUUAAAGUGUUAAGGGGAAAGAAAGAAAAUGCUAGCAAGGAACCACCAAAGCGGAGUCACAGACUACUAGGAGCCUGGACAUUAAAUGUUUCAAAUGCUUGGGAAAGGGAUACACUGCAUCUCAAUGUCUUAACAAGAGAGCAAUGAUCUUGAGUGCUAAUGGAGAAGUAGUGAGUGACAUUGAUGGAGAUGGGAUGCCCGAACUAGAGGAUAUUAGUGGUGGUAAAGUGUUGGAGCAUGCGGUGGACGGUAAAGCACUUGUACUGAUGUGUGUACUCAACACACAAAUCAAGGUGGAUGAAGAGGAGAAGCAACGAGAAAACAUCUUUCACACAAGUGGCAAGGUAUGUGGUUUUAUUAUUGAUGGAGGUUGUUGCACCAAUAUUGCUAGUACAACUUUAGUUGAGAAGUUAGGGCUGAGAACAAUAAAACACCCUAAACCUUAUAAACUACAAUGUUUGGAUGAUCGAGGCGAAGCUAGGGUGAAUAAAAGGAUAGUAGUGAACUUUUCAAUUGGGUAAUAUAGGGAUAAAGUGCUGUGUGACAUAGUGCCAAUGCAUGCGAGUCAUAUUUUGUUGGGUAGGCCAUGGUAGUAUGAUUGUAGGGUAAAGCAUGAUGGGUUUAGAAAUAGGUACAGCUUUGAAAAUGAUGGAAAAACUAUCAUGCUUGUACCAUUGACACCACAACAAGUCUAUGAGGACCAAAUAAGAAUUAGAGAUGAGAACGAGAGAAAAAGAAAGGAGAGACAAAAGAGAUCUUGAGAGAAAAUGACGAGGUGGUUAAGUGUGAGAAAAAUCGAGUAGAGCCACAUGAGAGAAAAGAAUGAGAGUCUUUUGAGCGGAGAGAAAAUUACAAGGCGGGCUUCUUUGCAGAAAAAGAUUGAGCUUGAGAGUGAGUUGGUAAGAACUGACAAAUCCCUCCCCAGUUUGUAUUUAUCUUUGAUGCAAAAAUGUGAAAUCUAUUACAUGAGGACUUUCUUAAAGGGAUAACACCAUUUGAAUAUCUGGUUGACACAUUGCAAUCGGAACAUUUGUGAAGCAUCGAAGAAGAGUCAGUCAACCAUGGCAAUGUGGAAUAUCAGAUUCUUAAACAUGAGCGGGUUGAUGUUCUAGUACAUGGAAAGCCAGACAUAAAGUCGAACUUGUUCCAAGAUGGCAAAUAGGAGAGAAUAAAACAUUCCAUGGCAUUGCAAAGCUUGAAAUUCUAGAUUCGAGGACGAAUCCUUUCGAAGAGGAAGGGGAUGAUAUGAUCCGGGCUAGGAGCCAAAUUCUCAAUUAUUUGACGACUGUUGGAGGUCAGUUAAUACCAAUAUUCAAGCUCAUUUGGAGGUUAAAAGGAUUGAUAAAGAUGGAAAGUCUCAUGAUCAAGCUUUGGAAUUUAAAAUGUGGGAAUUGACGUGCGAUGUAACAAGUUCCAUGAUUGGCGGGAAGAGACUAAGUGCAAAAUCGGGUUUGAUCAUAGCCAAUGAAAUCAUGCAAUCAAGCGUCGAGGUUACCGAGCAACAAAGGAUGAUGUUUGCAAGCUUAAGGUCGAGCUAAAUGUUAGUUAUAAAGGCAAAAUCAUGUUCGGUGUAUUGGAUUCAAAGUUUUGGACGACAUAUGAAAAAAUGUGCAGUGUGGAUUAAAAUAGGCAUAACUUUAGCUCAGGUGUCAGAUUUUUGCCCAUGAGUACAAUCUGGAAUUGUCAUGAAAUUAUACAUAAGGAGAAGGAGGUUUCAAAAAUUAAAAUAUGUGACCACAUAGCUUAAAAGCCAUGCGACCGCAUAGGCUAUUACCGAGGCAAAAUUGAGGCUAACUAUUUGCUCUAUGCGACUGCAUUUAUUUAUACUAUGCGCCGUAUAGUCCAAAUUUUUUAACACAUUUUUAAUUUUUGUUAACUUUUCUAGUUUCCAUAAAAUCUGAUUCUAAUUAUUAUUUUCCUUUAUUUAGAGCAUAAUUUCCAUCCAAGACAAUAUUUUUAGGAUUGGUAUAAAUACUUUUCUCAUUAUUGAUUGUAAGAAAUUUUGACAUUUUGAGAGAUUAAUACAAUGGGUUAUUUUGAUUCCAAUUUCUUGUUCCUUGAAGAACAAAUCGAACUUAUCAAGAUUUGUUAAUCAUGUGGCAUUCAAAACAAAUUCGGAUUAAUUAUGUAAUUAAGAGGUCGUUAAUUUCACAAAUUAACAGUUGCUUAAUUCAUCUUUUGUAAAUUAAAUCCAAAAUUGACGAAUCUUGACUUUCUUGGGAUCCGUGUCAAUCUCGUUAUGGGUUCGUUAGUGUUCGUUGCUAUUGGGUUCACAUCACUAGUUUAGGUGCAAGAGGUGCCGCCUCGGCCACUCAUUGGAUUUGAGCUCUUAGAAGAAAGGUAAUAUCUACUUGACAAUUGAAAAGUCGAAUCUGAUGGUGUCUCCAAUUGGUGUUGAAAGGAAAUUGAUCCAUUGAAGGUUGAACAAAGAAGAACCGGGAUUUUCACCCGCUGUUGGAAUUCCAAAAUUUAGGAAAGCGUAAAGGGACUCUAGUGGUGAAGAAGACAAAUGCAUUAUAUUGAGCUAGUUCGUGCAUUUCAAAGACACACCCAAAGAGGUCAACAGAAAGUGAAAUUUUCUUGCUAAGACAAACAUAUAAGAAGUAUAAUGCCUUCCUCCACACGUCAAGGAUUUAUUUGAUUAGGAAUGAGAUGGAAUUAAUUAAAAAUCGAGACAAAGAGGGGGUAGAUGGAGAAUCGAAAACCACCAUCUAUAAUGUCUUUAUAUACAGCUAUCUCGCGGGGGUCAGACCCGGGGAGUCUUUCUAUAGGCCCAGGGGCUCUGUAAAUAUAAUCAUCGACUCGAUCAAAUUUGCUAAGAGACUUUCCCAAUUUAAGAAGGAAAUUGUAGAGACUAUAACAUUUUAGGAUCUCGAGAAUGAUAACCUCCCCUGUUGGAUCUCCAAUUUCUACGUUUCGAUCUAAGGACUUGGUUAAGUUAAUAUGUUUUUGGGAGAGAUUAAUUGGAACAUUUGAGUUUCAGCGGGAUAAAUCAAACUGUUAGAAUCAUAGGGGAUCGACAAAACUUGUGAGGGAGGCUCCCAACAGGGCUGUUCGAUUGACCAGCAUGUUGGCCGAUGGACCAUCUUCGAUUGAUGGUCAACUGGCUCUGGCCGGCCAUCAAUUGACGAUGCUCGGAUGGGGAUCGAUCGUCCCAUCUGACGAUGGGUUGGUCGACACACUAGUCCCCUCAUUUUCACUUUCACCAAAGGAAUUCAUAAUGAUGAUAUUAUACAUAAUAGGAUGAAAAAUAAGUUAAAAACAAAAACUUAAAAUAAAGGAAGGGAGGAAAAAAAGGUUACCAUGGCUAUGGAAGAAGCAAGAGGAUUUGUGGGAGGAGAUGAAAGUGAAGAAAGGCUCCACCACUUUAUAUAAGCCAAUCUUUUGAAUUUUUCGGGGAGGGGGUGGAUUUCAUCCUAAAAACCAAACCCACUCAUGGGGUGCUAUGUAUACAAUGUUAUAGCUACCUAACUUCACUUGGACUGCUCGACCCACUUAUAUUGAACCAACUAUUGAUGAGAGAUGGGUAAAAAAAUUGCAUGAGGAUGAAGAUACUAUUCCUUACCGAUAAAUAUUGACAAGAGAUAGAGGCGCUAGUGAUAUUAGAUGGCAUUAAUAAUCGUCUAUGAUGACCAAAAAAGUGAGGCCCUCUACGCCUACAUUGGGCCGUUGACCCCUAUAAGCACUCUAUGUCUAUGUUGGGCCAUCGACCCCCAUAAGCACACUAAGUUUAUGCUAGGUCGUCGACCACCAUUAGUACUCCACGUCUAUGCUAGGCCAUUGACCCUCAUGAGCACUCUACGUCAACGUUGGGCCAUCGAUCAUUAGGAAGCCCUCGACGUCUAUGCUAGACCGUUGACCACUAGGAGACCCUCUACCCCUACACAGCUGACCCAACACGCAGCCAUAAAAACAUCAAUGAAUUGGACGGAGAUCGCUUAACAAUUGUCAUGGACACAACCAACCAUCGGAUAGUUGGAGGUCUUCCACUUAGAAUGUGGGGAUAAUGGAAGAGGCUACGUGGGACACGUGGCACCAUAACUAUCGAGCAUUUACGUGGCUUCAGUCAACUAUAAAUACACCUAAGAUGAAACAGGUAUCUCUCUGAAAAAUCUUUGACCAUCUGAAUACAGAGUACAUAUUUUCGCUUAAGUCUUUAUCUAAAAAGAUUCUGCACUAAUUCUCACGCCGAUGUACAAUAGGGGAGAAAGCCCCAACCCCAUUUUGCAUGUAACUUUUGUUCGUCGGAGCGGCUAGAACACUUUGCACUAAAGGGAGGCCACGGGGUUUUUGCUACACAACUAUUUCAAUAGAUAUUGUACCACUUAUCUUUUGAAUCCAUUACUUAAUUAUCUUAAUAUGGAUGGAUGGUCGUCAUUUUCUUUAAAAUAAAUUAUCAACUCAUCAAUUUCUUUAAAUGCCUACUUGAUUAGGUAAAUGUAAAGUGGCGAACUCAGAAAUUUUGAAUUAGUGGGGAACAAUCAAAAUUACAAAUAAGUUAUAAAAAACAAAAUAAAAACUUUCGAUAUGCAAUAGAAUGGUUUAAUAGGAUGCUUGAAAAAUAAAAACGAAAUGCUUAAAAAAAUAUUACCAUUAUAUAUGGAAAACCAAAGUAUCUACAUUCGAAGACACUAGAUCAUCACUGUUGAAUUUAAACACGAAAAAUAAAAUUUUAUGAAAUGAAAUGAAAUUAUACAAUUUUGAUCACCACUAUCCAAUAUCAAUAUUUUAUUUACCCAAAGGCGAAAUGAAAUUUUCUCAUUCCAACAAAAUACACAUGUGGUAUUUGACUUUCCCUACUCUCUCUCUCUCUUACCCCACAAAUAGCACUUCACCCUCUUUCCACUCUCUGUUUCUCUCGUCCUGUUUCUUUGUACAUGAUACAUACACAAUACACACAACUAAACAUAUAUUUAUAGUAGGCAAUGUCGUUGGAAGAGCAUUCAUCAAAAUUCUAGAUAACUCUAUGAAUCGAUUAUAAGAAUUCUCAUGGAGGACUCUAGAAUGGUGGUGGUAACAUCCAAGAGAAUUCUCCAUAUUUUUCUCACAAUAAUUGCUUGUGGAUUAAGGAAUUUCAACAAUUUAGAAGCUUCAAUGUAAGGUGGUGAUGAUCUUCUAUUACCAAUCCUCUCAAAUGGCCAGCCGAGUCUACAAUAAAAAAUCACUCAUCGACAUUAUGACUUAUCAAAAUCAACUGCAGAAACGAUAAGGAGGCUGAAAUUGAAUAGAAUGGGUUUUGAUUUUCCAAGGAAAGGGAACAAGGGAAGAGUUUUGAUUUUUCAAUUUGGAUAUUGAGUUCUUCUUCUCGGUUCUACAGACUUCAAAGGAAAAGGGGGCUGAAGGCUUACCCAAAAAAAAAAAAUCAAUUUUUGAAGUUGGUGGGUCACGUGACCCACUAGGACCUACUGUGGGUCCAUCUCUAUAAAGGUAUAUUUUUGACCGACUUUCUCUUAGAGAUGUAUUAGUUGUCCAUGAUAACAAUGUCAGUAUAUACACUCGUUCUCAUCAAUCUCUCUCUUUCUAUCUGCUUUGUCUCAAACAACUUUCCUAUAGAACAAACUGUGGACGUUGGUGCAAAAUGUCCUUGUGAAUCACCUCAUAAGACCUAACCAAUCGUCGUGAAAAGCUAGGAUCGCUCACUAUCCUUUCUUAUCUACAAUUUUAACAUUUACUUUGGUCUAAUGCUAAAACAUUUAAACCUAGUGUUAUCUCAAAGAAGAAAAUAGAAAAACAUGAAGAAAGUAGAUGAAAAAUAGAAGAAGUUUAGUAUGGGUACCUAGGCUAGAAAAGCUUUUAUCUUCACGAAACUGUUGUCAUUAUUCGCUAUGACAUGGCUGGAGAUUGGAUAGGGCCUUAAUGUGGUUGAAAUCUUUGAAGUGUAGGAAGUCCCAGAACAGAUACAAAACAUUCCUUCCAUAGGUUGGUGAAAAACCCAAACAUUAUAUCCCUGAAAUCAAUUUAUGACUUUGAUCACCUAAGCAAUUUGAAACCCUUGGGCGUGCAAAAGGCACCAAAACUCAAAUUGAAAAGAAUAAUGCUAUUUAACAUCACGCAUAUCAAGCAUCAGUUUAUAUGACAACUAAAUUUCAUCAAAUGAUAAAUUUACUUAAAUGUAAUGUUACUUAACUAUUGAACCUAUUAAGUGUUGUUGGGAAUCUACUUAUCAUCCAUAGCGAAAAAUUUAAACAGAUUUCAAUUCCCACCAUGGAUCCUUUUGUGUUUAGAUAGAAACUGUGAUAGAAAUUGUAACUUUUACGAGAUUUGCAAACUCAUUUGCUGUUUUUUCGUUCCAACGAUCUUAGUUUGAUAUCCAAAGCUGUCCAAUUGUCUAGCAUCUAAUAGAAAUCCACACAGGCACCAAGGUUUUCUCCUGUUGUGCUAACAAGAAUCAAUUUUCUAAGAAUUACAAACCCUAGUCACUUAUUUAUAUAAACCUAAACGGACUUAGCCUGACCUGGUCUAAAAUUUAAUUAACCCAAUUAAUUAAAUUCGGUCCGUGAAUUAAUUAAUUCAAUUAAUUAAUUUGAGCCUAUAAAUAAACAACCCAAUUAAUUAAUUUAUCCAACGCUUGUUAAAUUAAUUAAUUGACAAAUCACAAUCUUCCAAUUCUCCGUUUGUGUGCGACCCAUCAGGUUCUCGAUCACGAUACCUAACGAUGUCAAUUAUUUUUUUGAUCUAAUCAAAAUCGAUAAAUUAAAACACCCUUUUAAUUUAUCACCAAUUCACGUUCGCCGUCUCGGAUUGACAUCUAGCAAUGUGUCAGUGCAAUAUAUGUGACUAAAAAUGUCAUGUGAUAUGACAAAAUCAAACUCAUUCGUUUACCAUGAAACUAUAUUCCCUUCGUCAAUAUGAUCCGAUCAAUUACGAGAUAUGGAUAAGUGUCAAUCUCAAUUAUCGAUUAUAUUUUUCAUUCCAUUAUUCAGUCAAUAUAAAUCGAAAACUCCUUUUCAACUUAUGAGUACACCUUGGCCAAGGAUUUUAUUAUCGACUUAACUGAAUAAAAUGUAGAUCAUAAUAACUUAUUAUCUAAGAGUGACGAAUCAUCUAUUGGUCAUUCACAACCUUCAUAUGAUUCUUGAGAUACCCGAAUGACACCGUAUUAAUGGCCUUAGCAGAGCAACAUUUAACACCGCCAAAGUAUGACUGUCGUCAUAUAAGGUGUAACGCCUCGAAUUCUAAUAACCCGAAACGUUACGAAACAUGAAUAUACCUUGAAAUAAACAGUUUUAAUAUAACGAGAAAUUCUAUAAAAGAUUGAAUAACAUUUAAUCAAAAGAUAAAUUUAAAUAUGUGGAACGUUUGAAAACAUAUCAUUUAUCCAAAAAUUAUUAGAACAGUUAAAACUAAUUGAAAAUUUAUAAUGCACUCACAAUUGGGUCAAAAAUGAAUAACCCAUUAUUAGUUCUAGUGUUUUUGAAAAUUAAAAUACUUCAUGACGAGGAUCCGUUGGUCCAAUAGCAAAUCCAUCCACCGCCGUCCAGCAUACUAAUUAUCACCUAAAAAUUGUAAAUAAGGGGAUGAGUAUAACGAAUUGUACUCAAUGAGAUACUUGCUACUCCACAUUCAAGUCAAACAUGAAAUUACAAAUAAAUUAUCUUACCAACAUAACAUGAGAAUUAUCACACCAUGACAAAUGAUAAUUCUAGCAAGCGCUGCAAAAUAACGUGAAGGCUAAAUUGUGCCUUGAAAAUAACAUGAAGGCUAAAUUGUGCCUUAAAAUGUAUCAUGAUUUCUCCUGAAGGAGCCUGAAUUGAAGUAAUUAAAUUCAUAAUAACGUAUUUGAAAAGAUGUGGAAAAACCACUAAUAGCACUAAGUAUCUCACCUUUUGAAAAUGAAAGUGGAGAAUAAAAUUGCAGAAAUGUGAUUGCAAUUCCAAAGCCUUAAAAAUCUAAAUAAUAUAGAGGAAUAUUUUAAAGAGGGAGAGGUAAUGGACGUGUAGUAGAAUGUGGUUUUAGUGCUCUAUUUAUACUGUUGAGGUCGGGUAAUCACGUGGGGGAAGUGGAAUUUCAGCCAUAUUUAAAUUCGUAUUUCAUGCAAUUUUCUGAGAAAUUGAUUCAUAAUUCCCGAUUGAUAUAGUAUGACUGGAGAUUAAUUAUUGGUUUUCUGCCAAUUUCUAUAUCAAUUACAAUUACAACAAGGAAAUGAUAAGUAUUACACUGCAUGACUUUUACAUGUGGACAGGGAAAACAAAUCUGCCUCCUAUUUGCAUAAUUUACUCUAAUACAAACAUCUUAAAUUGUCAAUCUCCUAAUGGCCGAAAAUUAUAAAAUAUAUGCUUAUUAAUUAAAUUAGAAUUUCAAUCCAAUCUUCCCAAAAUUUGUUCCAAUUAAAAUGACCUUUCCAUGUUGCAUUAACACACAUCCCAAACCUUUUUUAGAAGCAUCGCUGUAUAUAACAAAACCUUCGGAACCAUCUGGUAUUGUUAAUACUGGUGCUGAAACCAAUCUUUGCUUCAAUUCUUGAAAACUGCUUUCACACUUAGCCGACCAUUGAAACUUUACUCCCUUUCUAGUUAAUUGUGUCAGUGGUCCAGCCAUCUUAGAAAAUCCUUCAAUAAAUCUCCGGUAAUAGCCAGCUAGACCCAAGAAACUACGAACUUCGAAAACUAGUGGUGGCAGUCAACUGGCGAAAAAUCUAAUCCUUUAAAACUCUUAUAACCAUAAUAUCCUUUAGAUGGCUAAAACUCGGGUUUAACUUGACCAAAUUAAAUUUUUCUUGAGUCCAUAAUUCGCCAUUUAUUAUGAGCUUCAAAAUUAGCCCAAUAUUGUUAUUGGUAGAGUAAUUCUAACUCCUUCAAUAGUUAACUAUUUGACCCAUUUAAUAAAGUAUAAAAUUAUUUGAUAUUUUUUUUUUUCAAUUUGGUCCCUCAACUAAUAAGAUAACUAUAGAGAUAAUCAAUUAACUUGCAUAAGAACUUAACUCUUAGAAAAUCCUUCAAUAAAUCUCCGGUAAUAGCUAGCUAGACCUAAGAAACUACGAACUUCGCGUACAUUGGUCGGUCUAGACCAAUUUGUUACAACUUCAACUUUAGCUGGGUCUACCUCAAAUCCUUGCGCAGUAACCACAUGACCAAGAAAGUCAAUACGAUCUAGCCAGAAUUCACAUUUUUUUGAAUUUGGCGUACAACUUCUCUUUUCGAAGCGUAUUUAAUACACUCUCAAUUGCUCUUCAUGUUGUUGCUUAUCCUUUGAGUAUACCAGUAUAUCAUCGAUGAAGACUAUAAUGAAUCGAUCUAGGUAUUGAUGAAAAACAUGAUUCAUUAAGUCCAUAAACACAGCUGGUGCAAUGGUUAACCCAAAUGGCAUCACUGUGAACUCAUGGUGCCCGUACCGCGUUCUAAAAGCUGUUUUUGGGAUUCUAUAACCUACCCUCCUUAAAAUAAUUUCGUCCUCGAAAUUUACCUUAGAUUAGUUGAAAAGUUCGGGAUACUUGAUUUUCAUCUCAUUGGUGAUAACCUGAUCUCAAAUCUAUUUUUGAGAACACCGUUGUACCCUUCAAUUGAUCAAAAAGAUCAUCUAUCCUUGGGAGUGGAUAUUUGUUUUUUAUAGUCAAAUGAUUAAUAUCUCUAUAAUCAAUACACAUCCUCAUUGACCCAUCUUUCUUUUUAACAAACAAUACCGGCGCUCCCUAUGGGGAUACACUAGGUCGGAUGAAACCCUUAUCCAAUAAUUCUUGUAGUUGUGCCUUCAACUCCUGUAAUUCUUUUGGUGCCAUUCUAUAAGGAGCCUUAGAUAUUGGUGUUGCCCCAGGGGUCAAGUCAAUUGUGAACUCUACUUGCCUAUCAGGCGGUAUACCAGGUAGAUCUUCAGGAAAAACAUCCACGAACUCAUUUACUACAGGUACAUCUUCUAUUUUCCUUUCGGACUGGGGUUUACUAUUUAUAUUCAAUAAAAAUCCUCGACACGUAUUCUUCCUCAACAUCUUUUCUGCUUUCAUUGCAGAUAUCAAUCAGGGUAGAUUCCUAAUUCUUGCUCUAAGGAAUCGAAAUUUUUCUUCUCUAGGUUUUUGAAAUAAGACUUCAUUCUUAUGGCAUACGAUAGUUGCAUAGUUUCUACCCAACCAGUCCAUACCCAAAAUUACAUCAAAGUCAUUCAUUCCCAAGAUGUACAAAUCUGCCUUUAGUACUUUUCCUUCAAUCUCUAACUUAACACCUUUAAUCAUUUGAUCAGUAUUAAUGACUUCGCCCGAGGGUGUACUAACUUCUAGAAUGUUAUUUGUUUCUACGCAUUUACUUCCAAUCUUAUCCAUAAAAAUUGUAGAAAUAAAUGAAUGAGUCGAUCUAGAAUCCAUAAGAACAAUAGCAGGUAUGUCGAAUACUGGUAACAUACCUAUUAUUACAUCUGUGUUUUGAUCCUCAUUUUCUCCCAUCAAAGCAAAUACUCUGGCCUUUCCCUUCUUAAGAUGGUCACCUUAUUUCUUCUUCUCUGAACAUUCUCUAAGGAAAUGGCCACUUUUACCACAAAUGUAGCAUAAUCCCUUUCCUUGAAGACAUUCUCCCAAGUGUCGCUUGUUGCAUUUGGAGCAUUGAGGAAAAGUUUUAUUUGAGCUUGACAAAAUCUUUACUUUCUGAUUCUGAUUCCUGUCUUUGUCGUGACCUUGCCACUUUCUCUUUACAGAAGUCUCGGUGUUGGGUUGAGGUUUCUUUUCCAAUCCUAAACCAUUAGAAAUUGCUUGUGCUCGACGUACAACUUCUGCAUAAGUAGUAUGUUGCUGGGCUGCCAUGAUUCCCUUAAUCUCUGGCUUUAACCCCAUUUCAAAACUUUUAGUCUUCGUCAGCUCAGUGUUUACCAUGUGUGGAGCAUAUCUAGAAAGCUGUUCAAAUUUUCUUUCAUACUCUCCAAGUGGCAAAUUUUGCUUACGUGAGUUGGAGAAAUUCUACCUCCUUUUGAUCCCUCAAUGGCUGGGGAAAAUAUUUAUCCAUCAACGACUCCUUGAAUUGACCCCAAGUGAGAUUACAUAGUUGUUCUGCAGUUUUAGUACGUGUUUCGGAAUCCCACCAAUGUCCAGCAUCGUUAGUCAACAUGAACUUUGCACAUGAAACCUUUUGAGCGUCGCUACAAUUCAUGUGCUCGAAGAUCCCUUCAAGUCUUCUCAGCCACUCCUCAGUUGUGAAAGGGUCACCUUUACCAUCAAAGGACGGGGGUUUAAAACGACGAAACUGCUCAACGAUCGAGCUCAUGGUGUUAGCACCUCUUGUUACAUUACUAGGUGCCACCUGAGCCUGCUGCCUGCCCAAGUCUUGCACUGCCCUCAAUAAAUCUCUGAACAUAGUAGCUUGAUCUUGUUGAUGUCUUGCCAUUUCCUUUAAGUAAAAAGUAAUCUAUCUUAAGAACUAUUUAACCAUGCUACAUUCUUCCUAUAGAUCUUUCUAAGCCAUGUCUGUCGUGUAUAUUAUGCUAAGGCCAAAAGUUACGCAUUAAGGUUUUAGUCAUAUGAUAAUCGUAUCAUUAAUCGUAUGAUAUGAUUAAUUGGCAUUCUACUUUUGAAUAAAAUGAUGCAUAAGGAAAAGCUCAUGAGAUUAUACAACUAAUUAGCAUGCAUGAAAAUAUAAAAAUAUUCUUCAACUUUGCAUACCUUAACAAUAUUGGACAGUGGCAGAUUGAUGAGCAUUGGAUUCCACGGAUCUCGUAACUUAUUAUUGUUAUGUAUAUAAAUUUUGUAAAAUGGAUUUUUUUUUAAAAAAAAUUCUAAAAUGAAAGGAUUUUCAUAAAAUUUGAAGUGGGUCUAAAACAUUGUUUUCGUCUUAUCGAUUUGAAUAACGCGCAACUAAAGAGGCUUCCAGGUGAGGAGGGGAGUCACAUGGACCGCUUAAAUCCCAAGCUUGCCUUAGACAGUUUAGGUCUUUUUGACAAAGCCUUUUAGUUUUACGAAUACGCAAAUCAAGAAAACUCGAACAAUGAAUUCCCCCUAAAAGAUUAAAUAUGUAUAGCCCCUUUUUUUUUUUGAAAAAAAAAUUGUUAAUAACAACAAUACGAAGGUAGAGUCAAUCAUGUGGUCAUUUCAUAAAUUUAUGGAUAAAAAGUCCAAACAAUCCUAUUCUACAUUUAUUUUAAUUUCAAUCGAAGAAAGAAGGCAGAAAUUUUGGUGUGUGACAUUUCAUUAUAGUAAAUAAAUCCUUAUCCAAAAAAAUUAUAGUAAAUGAGUAAACAAAUAAUCAUGUCCAAGAAUAAACAAAUAAACACGUUUGGACAACUAUAGGCACAUAACCCCAUUUUAUAUUACGUGAAACAAAAUUUCACAAAAUCCCAUUUAACUUUACUAUUCCCGCGUCAUUGUUCAUCCGUGAACAGUGACUUACCUUUUUUUUUUUUUUUUUUUUAUACACGAGAGUAGUGAUGGUCACUGCACUGCACCAAACAAAACCAAAAUAAUAGUGACACAAUUUGGAUGGAGGUCACUGUUCACAAUAUUAUUUUAUCAUUAUUAUUAUUUUUAAAAAAAUAUAUAAUCUCAACGUGGAAAUUGGAAGAAGUAAAAUUUACUUAAAAUGAAAUUCCUUACAAUAUCUAGGCAGCGAAAAAUAUUUCAUGCAUUCGAAACUAUUCACAUAAAACAACAUUUUUUUUUUGAAAAUUUUAAGUCUAUAGGAUCGAUUUUAGAACACUUAGCUCUGAUACCAUUAUGUAACGCCCCGAAUUCUAAUAACCCGAAACGUUACGAAACAUGAAUAUACCUUGAAAUAAACAGUUUUAAUAUAACGAGAAAUUUUGUAAAAGAUUGAAUAACAUUUAAUCAAAAGAUAAAUUUAAAUAUGCAGAACGUUUGAAAACAUAUCAUUCAUCCAAAAAUUAUUAGAACAGUUAAAACUAAUUGAAAAUUUAUAAUGCACUCACAAUUGGGUCAAAAAUGAAUAACCCAUUAUUAGUUCUAGUNNNNNNNNNNNNNNNNNNNNNNNNNNNNNNNNNNNNNNNNNNNNNNNNNNNNNNNNNNNNNNNNNNNNNNNNNNNNNNNNNNNNNNNNNNNNNNNNNNNNNNNNNNNNNNNNNNNNNNNNNNNNNNNNNNNNNNNNNNNNNNNNNNNNNNNNNNNNNNNNNNNNNNCUUGCUACUCCACAUUCAAGUCAAACAUGAAAUUAUAAAUAAAUUAUCUUACCAACAUAACAUGAGAAUUAUCACACCAUGACAAAUGAUAAUUCUAGCAAGCGCUGCAAAAUAACGUGAAGGCUAAAUUGUGCCUUGAAAAUAACGUGAAGGCUAAAUUGUGCCUUAAAAUGUAUCAUGAUUUCUCCUGAAGGAGCCUGAAUUGAAGUAAUUAAAUUCAUAAUAACGUAUUUGAAAAGAUGUGAAAAAAUCACUAAUAUCUCUAAGUAUCUCACCUUUUGAAGAUGAAAGUGGAGAAUAAAAUUGCAGAAAUGUGAUUGCAAUUCCAAAGCCUUAAAAAUCUAAAUAAUAUAGAGGAAUAUUUUAAAGAGGGAGAGGUAAUGGACGUGUAGUAGAAUGUGGUUUUAGUGCUCUAUUUAUACUGUUGAAGUCGGGUAAUCACGUGGGGGAAGUGGAAUUUCAGCCAUAUUUAAAUUCGUAUUUCAUGCAAUCUUCUGAGAAAUUGAUUCAUAAUUCCCGAUUGAUAUAGUAUGACUGGAGAUUAAUUAUUGGUUUUCUGCCAAUUUCUAUAUCAAUUACAAUUACAACAAGGAAAUGAUAGGCAUUACACUGCAUGACUUUUACACGUGGACGGGGAAAACAAAUCUGCCUCCUAUUUGCAUAAUUUACUCUAAUACAAACAUCUUAAAUUGUCAAUCUCCUAAUGGCCGAAAAUUAUAAAAUGUAUGCUUAUUAAUUAAAUUAGAAUUUCAGUCCAAUCUUCCCAAAAUUUGUUCCAAUUAGGGGACACAAUGAUUACUAAUUAUAUGGACACGUGAAAGUCGUAAUGAAAUGCAUGGGUUACUCAUGUACUAAAGUCUAACAUCAAAUAAUUCAAAUUCCUUUGAUUUGCAUUUAACUAAAUUUGUAAGCAGGAAUUACGUUUUAAUUGAUUACCUCUUAAUUAAAAAUGUGUAAUUAUUAAUACUUAACAUAAAGACUUUGUUUAACCAAAACUUAAAAUUCUAAUUUAUUUAGCUAAACUAGUGGUAGCAGUCAACUGGCGAAAAAUCUAAUCCUUUAAAACUCUUAUAACCAUAAUAUCCUUUAGACGGCUAAAACUCGGGUUUAACUUGACCAAAUUAAAUUUUUCUUGAGUCCAUAAUUCGCCAUUUAUUAUGAGCUUCAAAAUGAACCCAAUAUUGGUAGAGUAAUUCUAACUCCUUCAAUAGUUAACUAUUUGGUCCAUUUAAUAAAGUAUAAAAUAAUUUGAUAUUUUUUAUUUUUUUUCAAUUUGGUCCCUCAACUAAUAAGAUAACUAUAGAGAUAAUCAAUUAACUUGCAUAAGAACUUAACCAAACAUUGCAUUCCUAUUAAAUGGCAAAUGAAAAUAUAUGCGAAUUUAAGUUAAAAAUUCGGGAUUCUACAUAAGGCACCAUGAUGUCCUCAAGUCAAAAGACCAAUUCCACUACCGAACGUUAGAAAUUAACCACUGACACUCAGAUAGCCGUCCAUGUAGAAUCUCUCAGCGGGUCUCCAAUAUUUUGUUCUACAGCAAAACAUCCACGUGUUCAUUUAAAUGUCAUCACACUUUAUCUUGUGAGAUCAACUACAUACUUCAUUAGUAAGAAACGCUACACGUGAUGGUCUAUCCAUAAUAACGAUAUCCGUAUCUUGUUAUUACUUACGACCAUGGACGAUUUAAGAUUUAAUCAUAUGUAAUUUGUAUCACACAAUCACAACUCCUUGUGAUUAACAAAUUAUCAAUAUUUGAAUCUACGAACUCUAUUAUUUAAUUUAAUUGAAUAUUAAUUAAAUAAUAAAUCUGCCAUAAAAUUGCAUCAAUUAUUUAUUAAAAGUAUUUAUGUCCAAGGUUAAUUGGACCUAGGGCAUAACACUUACAAACUUCCACUUGCACUAGAUCCAAUCACUUAUGUAUCGAAUAUCAUAAGAGUCUACAUGACGAUCAUGUUUAUGCUGCGACAACUCUUUGUCAGUGGAUCUGCAAUAUUGACAAUUGUGGGAAUUCGUUUCUUUCUUUACGUCAUUUCUUUGUAUUAUAUCUAUGAUGAGAUGAUACUGGCUUAAUACAUAUUUGGGUCAUUGAUGAGACCUUAUUUCCUUUAUUUGUGCAAUGAGUUUAUUGUUAUCACAAUGCAAUUGCAUGUGAUCGACAAUGUUAGGACCUACUCCAUGUUCAUUAGUGAACAUCUUGAUCUACAUUGCAACUCUUUGCUACUUUUGAAGUAAUGAUAUUAGGUUUUUACUAUUGAAUCAACGAUUGUUUCACGUUUGGAACCCUUCCAACACAUUGUUUAGGAGUAAACUAAUUUCUCCAUAUAAAAUCUUUUCAAGAUUUUAUCUAUGAAGAUUGGGAUGAGUUGAGCAAUCUUCUAAAUCUAUCUCUAUAGAUUAAGUUGCCUCUCCCAUAUCUUUUACGGAACAAUCAUUUAACAACCACAAUUUCAAUGAUUGAAAUGUAGGGAUAUCGUUUCCUAUUAAUAAUAUGUCUUAUACAUAUAAUAUUAGAAAUACGACAAUGUUCCCACUAUCUUCUUGUAAAUACACAGUUCGUCUCCAUUUUUUAUAAAAUUAAACAUUUUGAUUGUUUAUCAAAUUGAAUAAUUCAGCUCCAAGAGACUUGCUUUAACCCAUAUUUAAGGUAUGCAACUAUUGCAACCAAAAUCCGAAUGAACUUCAGCAUGGCUAUAGGUGAAAUAUUUUGUCAAGGUCAACACUUAACCUUUUACUACUAGCCUUGCUUUGUAUGUACGGAUAUUCCCAUCCAUGUCGACCCUUUUCUUGCAAACCAUUUACAACAUAUGAGUUUUAUCCAUCAUGAGGGUUGAACAAGGUCCAAACCUUAUUUUCAUACAUCGUGUUCAAUUCGAAUUCCAUGGGCUCAUGCUAUCCAUCUGAAUCAAAACUUGACUUUGCUUCUCUGUAAUUAGUAGAUUUAUCAUCCUUGAUUAAUAAUACUUGAUUAGUAAUCGUGGAUUUACACUUUCUUAAAGGUCGAAUGAUCGUUGGAUCAAACUUGGACUCAUCUACUUGGUCAACUAUAUUUGUAGACUCUAGAACUCUUUCAAGUUUUAUUUUGCUCCCACAGUCCUCUUCUAGAGUAAACAUUUUCUGUAAGAAGAAGAUAUGUUAUGAGACGAAAACUUUCUUCACAAUUGGAUAAUAGAAUUGAUAUUCAAAUAUCUGCUUUGAAUAUCCCACAAAUAUGUAUUUAUCGGGAUUUAGUGUCAAACUUAUCCGAUUCAAGACGCUUCAAAUAAGCGUCACAGCCCCAAACUUUCAUAUGAGAUAAGUUGAUACUAUUGCUUUCCAUAGCUCGUAUGGAGCACUAUUAACCAGUUUAGAUGGGACAUGAUUUAGUGUGCAGCACACUACAGUCAGUGGAUGACCCUAAAAACAAUUUUGGAAGUUUGCAUCGCUUGUUAUUAAUUGCAAUAUAUCUAAUAGUUUAUUAUUCCUCAUUUUAGAGACACCACUAUGUUGUAGUGCAUGUAGAGGAUCCACUGCAAGAGAAUCUCAUUCUCUCUUAGAUAAUCUAGAAUUUCAUCUUUAAAAUAUUCCCAUCCCAAUCGGAUCUUAGUGUGGAAAUAUCUUUACCUAUUUGUUUCUCUACUACUAGCUUGAAUACCUUGAACCUUUCAAGAGCUCUAUGCUUAAAUUUCAUCAAGUAUGCAUGAUUAUUGAUGAAAUAAGAGAAACUUCAUUUGACAUUAAUCACUAUGUAUUAGGCCAGUAAUUAUGUAGACCUUUUCCCUUUCCAGUAAAAGGAAAUUUGUUUAUCUUGCCUAAAAGGCAUGACUCGCAUUUUUUCAAAUGAUUCAAAAUCAGUUGACCCCAAAUAUACUUCUCUAUGUAAUUUUGGAAUUGUUUUUCAUCUAAAUGACCAAGUCUGCAAUGCUAGAUUUAGGUGCUAUCUAGAUUAUCACUUUUAUGCCUAUCAACUUCUAUACUCAUUAUAGAAUGCUUAGUAUUUAGAAUAUAAAUGUUAUUUGUAGCUUACCAUAACCAUUAAGAUCUUAAUCAAGAUAAGAAGGAACAACAAUUGUCCUUAACAUUAAAAUAGUUCAUGUCCGAACAUGAAUUCAUUUUAAUAUUCCAGCUAUGGUGGGUACUCUCUAUUCCAAUACUAAGUCUAAAGGCAACGACAAGAAGUAUGCUCCUACAAGCAAUGCACCAACAUUUGCUCAUCUUCAACGUGUAGGUCAACUUCUCCUUUUUUCAGUGGUCUACUUCUAUUUAGUUUCUUCAUAUUUGUAUAAACAUGACAUUUAUAUUUGAUAUCAAAUACCUAAGAAACUUAUGAAGUAGAAGUAGGCCUUGUAAUAUUUCUUCCAAUGACUUUUCAUUCUAUAAUGAAAGCUAUGGUCAUUAGACUUUGUAUUGUCCUUCGCUUUAACCGUAUUAGCCACAUUGGAUGCCUUCCCAUAGCCCCUUCAGACGUUCUCUUAAUAUCCUUAAAGAAAUCAAUGGCUUGCCCACUACUAACUUUGAUAUUGGGCUCAACAUUCUUAAGCAUGUUCAACAACUCAAUGAGAUUGCAUUCUAGUUUAUUAAUAUUAUAAUUCAUAAUUAGUAUAAAUAACUCUCUGACAGAGAUGACAGAACUAAGUCAAUACUUAGUUCAUAAUUGAACUUAAUUGAGACAAUUUCUCAAUGCCAAUUAGCUUCAGUACAUGAGCAUUGACUGAAGAUCCCUCUGUCACUUUGCAACAGUAUAGCUGCUUGGAAGUCUCAUAUCCUUUCACACAUGAUUAUUAUCAUACAAUUCUUUGAAAUGAAAAAAAUCAUGCAUUAGUAUCUAUUCUCUCAAGUUGCUUUUGUAACUCAGAUGAUGUAAUGCAAACAUCACACAUGUUGCAGUAUUAUUGUCAUCACCAUGUUAUUAUAACAGCCACCUCUUCCUUAAUUGAGUCAGCACCAGGUGUCUCUGGAAAUGACUACUUAAGACAAACAACUUUCUCAUGCCUAAGAAUAAUUCUCAGAUUGCGGUGUCAAUCAAGAAAAUGUGGUUUGAUUGUUGGCAUCUAGUAUGCCUCUUAAAUACAUAUGGUUACUCAAGAUUUAAUACAAGUGACGAAAAGGAAAGGAAUAAUAUAUAAAAAUGCAUAAAUUAAUUUAACAUGGAAUUUCAUUAAAUUAAUUACGCUCCCACCGUUUAACUCAAAUUUAUGACCCUCUCGCAUAAAUUUAUAGAAUCCAUAUUUGAUUCCCAGUGAGCUAGGAUCCCAUCUGUUAUACCAAAACCUUGAAUAUACUCAACGUUCCUUAAUAUAACAUUUGGAUAGAUACUAUUAUCAAUUGUAUCUCCUUACAACUCCCACGUCAUUAAGCUGACAACUCUUUGUCUUCAAGCACCUUAUGUGUUAGCUUAACAUACCUCUAAAAUUUAACUCAUUGAGUGUAUUCAACAAGAAAUUAAGUUAAGUCGGACCCAUCAUUUAGAAAUAUUUAAUAUUUUUCAUGGUGUCAAACAUAUCCCUAGUAGACCAACCUUGAGUGUACUCAAUAAGUUGAGACGAUUUGGGACUCUGGUUCUUCACUAUAAUGAUGGGAGUCGAAUAAUAAAUUGAUUUAAUAUUUUAUUGAGGGAUUUCGCAUUCAAAAGUAUCAUCAACAUCGAUAUAAUCAUAUAUAUAAUUUAUUAUGCAUCAAACAUGCAAAUAAACAUAUAUAUAAUAUAAUACUGUAGUGUAGACGAUUAUGGACUUUUACUAUCUAGUCUUCCCGAGCUAUAAGAAAGACUAGUUGGUCAAUUUCUAGGGGGUAUUACAUUGAUAAUACAAUGAUCCAUCUCCAUAGUUUUCACAUCUUCUUGUGUCUCCAAUUAGUCCUAUACAGGUGGCACGCAGCCCUAAAUGAAAUUGGACUCGGGGGCCUAUAGUAACAAUAACAAUAACGGACUCGCGGGUCCAAAAUGAUUAAGAGCUCGCGGGUCCAAAAUAAUAACAAAAAUAACGGACUUGCAGGUCCAAAAUAAUCAAGAGCUCGUAGGCACAUAAAACGACAAGAAUAAAAUUAACCAUUCAACAUAUCCACAUUAUUGAGUCCAUAAUCGUCCACUAAUAAUACAUCCAUCACAUAAAUGUAUGCCUAUAUAAUAUCUAAGAUUAUAUGUAAACAUGUUUCAAGUUUCCAGCAAUUAAUGUCGUCUAAACUAUUCUAGACAAAUGGAUCGGAAUAAUUAAAUAAUCAAUUAACCAUAUUAAUUAAUUGUUUAAUCUGCGGGUGUAUUUAAUUAAAAUCAUAUUUUAAUUAUAUACUAAAUUAGAGGCCAACUCUAAUUCCUCAAUUAUAGGACGGGACUAUAUAAUUAAAAUCACAUUUCAAUUAAGGGAAGUGCUACAUGUACAUAAUUAUCUACAUAAUGGUGUCCAUAAUUACACGUGGUACUGGAUCCAACUUUUAAUUCAAAUAUCACACUUGUAUAUCAACAACCGGAUGAUUGACACAUCACAUUAUGGACACCAUUAUAUGCAAUAAUUAUGUACAAGUAAAAUUUUCCUUCAAUUAAAUAUCAAAUUAGAGUUCAACUCUAAUUUCAAAAUGUAAGGCAGUUGAAUUUAAUCAAAAUCAAAUUUUAAUUAAAUAACAAAAUUAGUGUCCAACUCUAAUUCCAAGAUUUUAGGGUGAACAUAUUUAAUUAAAAUUAAAUUUUAAUUAAACGACAUAUUAGAAUCCAACUCUAAUUCUAAGGAAAAAUUUAGGACAAGACAAUUUAAUUAAAAUCAAAUUUUAAUUAAAUAUCAAGUUAGAAUCCAAUUCUAACUUCUAGAAUAUAUAUGGGGUGAAAAUUAAUUAAAAUCAAAUUUUAAUUAAAUAUUAAAUUAGAGUCCAACUCUAAUUUGAAUUAAUAUUUUAAUCUAGGAUAACAUUCCUAAAUAAAAUAAAAUUCAAUUUAGGGUCAAAUUUAAUAUUUAAGUUAAAAACAUCUUUUAUCGAAAAUAUGAAAGUCGUUAAUUUUAAAUAAGAUUUUAAAUGGGUCAAAAUUGAGAUUUUAAGUCAAACCCAUUUAAAACCAUUUUAGAAUUCAAAUUUAAAUCGAUGUUAAUGAGACCUUUGAAUGUGAAACCCCUCAAUAAUUUUUUUUUAUUCUUCUUGAUGCAAGCGCUGCAUAGAUUACCCACAGGAAGGCUGCUGCCUGCAGCAGUGACGGCGAUGCCACUGCAAGCAGGCGGCAUCGCAUGCGGCAAUAGACGUCGCUACAGCACUGUUGCCACCACCUUGGGGUCGCCGAUGGUCCGAUAUAAUUUUUUUUGUUUACGAAAAUUUAGGGGGUGUUCUCUUCGUGUUUCAGUUUUGUAGUUUUGAGUUUUGAAUUCAUUUUGAAUUUUGUGUUUUGAGUGUUUGUUUUGAAAUUGUUGAAAAUAUGUUAUUUUUGUUAGUCUGAAAAACUAAUUCUCAAAACAAAAAAAUGAAAAACAUAUUUCCUUUGAAAUUUUGAGUACCACGACAGCACCACCAAGACACCACCAUGAUACCACCAACCAUUGCCAAAAUCAACCCUACUACCACCACCAUGAACUAUCAACCACUGCCACCCCGUCCACAACUACCAACAAAUCGAAUGCAAUAAAAAUGCAAGAAAAAAAUCACUACCACCACCAUCUACAACCACCAACACCACCGACCACAACUAUCCACUACCACCAUCAACCACUGCCAGCACUGUCCACCACCAUCCACAAACACCAACACCUUCAAUUGCAAGAAAAAUGCAAGAAAAAAGAACCAGCAACACAAUCAAAAUUGGUUCGUGGACUGCCGCUUGAUUCGGCCCUAUUGGUUCGAAAUUGGUGAUGAUCCAUGGGUUCAUUUGGUGCGCCAUGAUGAGGCGGUGCUAGGGGUCCACGACCUUGGGUUGUGUCGUCAGCGCCGAACAUUGCGGUUGAAGGGUUCGAGUUCACUGUUACGAAAAACAGCGCAUCUCCUCAUUGCGACGCUGCGUCAGCAUCACCUUCUCACAAAAGCGUCGACACCGAUCAUCUCCCUUCGUAGCUGACAUCGCCCUUCAUAGCCAGUGUCACCCUUCGUAGCCGGCGUCCAAGAGAAGAGAAGGCAGAGCCAUGUUUUCGACUGAAAACGGAAAGAAAAGGAAGGCUUUGAAAAGAAAAAUAAAGGUGUUUCCCGUGUUUUCAAUUUUUUCGAGUUUCGUACUGAAAACGCCCAAAACGACAAAAAAUCUCAUUUUGUGUUUUCUUCACAAACUUUUUUUUCAUUUUCAAAAAUUCGUUUUUGAAAACGGGAAAUAGAACGCGUUUUCACUGUUUUGAAAAAUCGAAAACAAAAAAAGGCCCGAAAAUGGCAAAGAGAACAGGCCCUUAAUUUUCUAUCUCAAAACAAAAAAUUUUGAAUAUGAAAAUAAAUUUUCUUAAUUGCUAGAAACCCGAAUAAGAACAGAAUCAACUUUUAAUUGUUCCCAAACAUUAAAAAAAAUUCUAACAAACACAAAGUAGGUUCUCAUACCACUGUUGGGAAUUUACUUAUCAUGCGCGGCGAAAAAUUAUAACAGAUUUCAAUUCCCCCCAAGGACAUCUUUGUGUUUAGAUAGAAAUUGUAUCUUUUACGAGAUUUGCAAACUUCUUUUCUAUUCUUUCAUUCCAACAAUCUUGAUUCUUCACCCAUAGCUGUCCAAUUGCCCAGCUUUCAAUAGAAAUCCACACAGAGAACAAGAUUGUAGGCACCAGAAUAUUCUCCUUUUGUGCUAGCAAGAAUCAAUUAUCUUAGAAUUACAAACCCUAGUCACUUAUUUAUAUAAGCCCAAACGGGCUUGACCUGACCCGAUUCAAUAUUUAACUAACCCAUUUAAUUACAUCCGGUCCAUGAAUUAAUUAAUCUAAUUAAUUAAUUCGGGCCUAUAAAUAAGCAACCCAAUUAAUUAAUUUAUCCAACGUUUGUUAAAUUGAUUAAUUGACAAAUCACAAUCUUCCAGUUCUCCGUUUGUGUGCGACCCAUCUGGUUCUCGAUCACGAUACCUAACAAUGUGAAUUAUUUUUUUAUCUAAUCAAAAUCGAUAAAUUAAAAUACCCUUUUAAUUUAUCACCAAUUUACGUUCGUCAUCCCCGAUUGACAUCGAGCAAUAUGUCAGAGCAAUUUAUGUGACGGAAAAUGUCACGUGGUAUGACAAAACCAAACUCAUUCGUUUACUGUGAAACAAUAAUUCCUUUGUCAAUAUGAUCCCAUCAAUUACGAGAUAUGAUAAAUAUCAAUCUUAAUUAUCGAUUAUAUCUUUCCUUUCACUAUUAAGUCAAUAUAAUUCGAAAACUCCUUUUUGACUUAUGAGUACACCUAGGCCAAUGAUUUCAUUAUCGACUUAACCGAAUAAAAUGUAGAUCAUAAUCUCUUACUAUCUAAGAGUGAUGAAUCCUCUAUUGAUCAUUUAGAACCUUCAUAUAAUUUUUGACAUACUCGAAUGACACCGUAUUAGCGACCCCUGACAAAGCAACAUCCAACAUCGCCAAAGUAUGACUGCCCUCAUAUAAGGCACCAAGAUAACCUCAAGUCAAAUGACCAAUUUCACUACCGAACGUUAGAGAUUAACCACUGACACUCAGAUAGUUAUCUAUGUGGAAUCUCUCAGCGGGUCUCUAAUGUUUUGUUCUACAACAAAAUAUCCACGUCUUUAUUUAAAUGUCACUACACUUUAACUUGUGAGAUAAGCUACUUACUUCAAAAAUAAGAAAUGUCACACGGGAAAGUCUAUCCAUAAUAACGAUAUCCGUAUCUCAUUAUUACUCACGACCAUGGACGAUUUAAGAUUCAAUUUUAUGUAAUUUGUAUCUCACAAUCAUAACUCCUUGUGAUUAACAAAUUAUCAAGAUUUGAAUCUACGGACUAUAUUAUUUAAUUUAAUUGAAUAUUAAUUAAAUAAUAGAUUUGCCAUAAAAUUGUGUCAAUUAUAUAAUAAAAGUAUUUCUGUCUAAGGUUGAUUGGACCUAGGGCAUAACACUUACAAGUGUAACCACUUAGAAUGGUGCUAGAUAGCAUUAUACAUUUGAAAAGUAUGGCCGAGAUUUCUAAAUAACUACAUACGGUCAUGGAUUUUGCAUGGAACAGAGCAUAAGGAAUGAAGAGGCGGAGAUAAUAAUGGCAAGAGUAAGAUGACAUCUCUUCAUGUCCCUCGUUGUCGACAGUUGCAGUUCAUAUUGUGGGCAUCUGCAUGUCCUAGGGGCUAGGACAAUAUAAAUGUUAGGCUCGAAUUUGCGUAACUAUUGUUAGGAAUCCACUUUCAAAGUAAGACGUUACCAAGAACCAAAAAAGAAACAUCGUCAAGUAAAGCAUGAAAGAUCUUAGAAAAAUAUAAGCACAAAAAGGCCAUGAAGCAUCACCGAACAACACCCAAACGAACUCUAGAAGUGCGAAGCAUCAACAAAGUAAAACCUUCAAGUUCAUAACUUAAAUAUUUAUAUUAGAAUUGGACAUUGGGGGCUACUAUUACUACCCUAAUUUGCUAGACAUCCAUAUGGAAUCUAUGCAUGUCUAAGGAGCCACAUUUGCCCAAAAAUCCCAUUUCAUCAAGAAUCAUGCAUCGCUCCGACGAACCACUCUAUACCUCACCAAUGUCAUCUCUUUUGGAAACCGACCAUGGCAUUGCUUCUUUUAUAAUAUUUUUGAACUCUUUUUCUUUUUGUUGUUUCUUUGAUCACUUUUAAAAUAGCUCAUCUGCGUUUUUCUUUUUAAUAUAUAUGUAUUCUAUUUAUUUCCACUUUUGAGUUGAAUUUUAAUUGAUUAGUUGAAAAUCAGUCAUAGAAACAGAUUGGAUUUUCUUGGUUAUUACUAUUGUGGUUGUUAUGGUUUGUGUAAUUUUUGUAGAUAUCGCGGUGAAGGACUUUUAUAAGUUUGUAAUAUAAGUAUUAAUUGAAGUUAAAAUCUUAUCUUAAAAUUAAACAGGAAUAGAAGAAUACUUUGAUUUGAGGUUUUGAUUCGACAUUUUGAAUGAAGUUUUAUGCCAAUUUGAUAUUAUUUUGCUUUCUUUGCAUUCCAGAAAUUAAUUGUAGGCCUUAGAAGAAGUUACAAUCUUGAUUUUAUAGUUACAACCUCCGUUUGAUAUCUUGGGUGCAGCACAUUUACUAGUGAAAAAAGUUUCAAGUUUUCCUUCACAAGAGUAGGGGUGUCAAUUGGCUCAUCCGCUCGGGAGGGCCAUGGCUUGGCCCGAGAAAAGCUCGAGCUAGCCGGGCUCGUUGCACAUUUCUACGGGGCCCUAUUUUGGGGCGUUGGCUUGAGGAACCAGCCCAUGUCACGGGUCAUUUCGGCCCGUAACGAGCGAUCUUGAAAAAAAAAAGGAAAAAUCUUUAAAACUUAUAAUAUAUAUAUAUAGGGCAAGCUGCGUAGCUGCCUUAAUUACUGCCUGCAAUAACAACUGCCUUUUUAAGGCGACUGCCAGGGCAGCUAUAUUUAUAAAGGGGAAAAAAAAAGGAGCGAGCUUGACCUGACAUUGCUCGCUAAAGCUCAAGCAUAAAGGUAGGAUCGAGCCUAAAUUUUUUGGCCAAGCAAAAGUUUGGCUCGACUAGGGCAAAAAAAAUUCGAAUCAUUUUUACUUGAGCCGAGCCCGAACUUUGAGUUCCGACUAAUGAGCCGACUCGAUUUGACUCGUAGACAUCCCUACAUAAAAGUGAAAAAUGUUUUAUGGAUGCCUUCUAGUAUUUCUUUCUUCUAGGGAUGGCAACGGUUCGGUUUCGGUUCAGUUCGGCCAAAACCAUCACCGAACUGUCAAAUUUUUUGUCAUACCAUAAUCGCAUCAUAACCACGUAAAUCGGUUCGGUUCGAUUUGUAUCUCGGUUUGACUCGGUUCGAUUCGAUUCGGUUCGGUUAAUAACCACGAAUAGAAAUUAUUUUUUAUAGGUUCAUCCGUCAAAUUUAUAUAAAACAAUUUAUGAAAAGAGAGUCAAUUGAAACAAAAACAUAAUAUUCAAAAUGAAAAUGCAAACAUUAUCCCAAAUUCCAAUUGCAAAAUAAAAAUUUAACAAACGGUGCUAUGAAUAUAAAAAUACUAAACUUUUCCUUCAUUCUUUAUUCUUGUACAUUAUAGUUACUUGAUUCAUGAUCAAUAAUUCAAAAGUUUCAACCUUAACUCAUAUUCAAUCUUCAUUCUUCCCCACAACUCUUACUAGUAUAGGUCAACACUCAAAAUUGAUUCUUAUAUAGUAAAUAAGAAAUGUAAGUAGAGAAUACAAUGAUACUAUCUAAUUCAAAAUGGUUUUAACUAAGAUUUAAAUAAAAAAAUGUACAUCUUCGUCAACUUCCUUCUCACUAAACCUUGCCAUCCCUAAUAAAAGAAUGGUUUUUUUUAAGCGGAUAAACGGUUCGGUUUCGGUUCGACAGCGUAAAUACCAUACCUGCACUGCCACGAUCCGGUUCGUUAAAAUAAAAUCUCAUAUCCACCACAUUGCACCAUCGGUUCAAUUUUUUUCGCCCCAUUCUGUUCGGUUAACCGCGAUUUUCGAUUUUAACGGUUCAAAUUGCCAUCUCUACUUUCUUCCCUUCUAUUGAGAUUGCUAAUGGGGAAUACAAGCAUCUUUAUUAUAUUUUCCAACUUGUCCUUUAAGGAAAAAAAAGAAAAAAAGAAACAAAAUAAUUUAAUAUGUACUAAUUCUAACUUACUUCGCCACUUGUCUUUUUAUUCUGUUACUUAAUUAAAUUGCCUUAAUAUGGCCAUCUUUUUCAUAGAUAGUAUCAACUUCGUUAGGUAAACGUUAAUUUUCAAUCAACUUGAACUUAAAAAAUUAUCUGAGAAGACAGAUAUAAUUAAAAAGAUGUAUUAAAAGCCAACAUGAUUAGGCAAAAAUCUAUUUUCAUACAUUUCUUGUGUUGUGCUUUCUUUUCUUGAUAAUAUCAAACUUGUCAGUUAAGAAAAUCAUUUAAUAGGUAAAAAUUCUAACCUACUCCACUUGUCUUUUAUUUCUACUACUUAACUAAUUAUCUUAAUAUGGCCAUCAUUUUCUAUUAAUUAAUUAAUUAUCUUAAUAUGGCCAUUGUUUUCCUUAAAAACUCCGGCUUCAAUCGGCAAAGGUAAAUUUUCAACUAACUUGACGCUAAAAUCAAAUUAUUUGAAAAGCCCAAAAAAUGCGGACUUGAUUAGGUAAAGGUAUAUUUUCCUACAUUUCUUGGUCGUUUUUCUUGUCUUGAUUUCAAUCAUUUUGGGGGUUAGUCUCAUAAAUUGGUAAAGUAUGAGUUUCGGCACCAUUUUAAUCAUUUAAUAUGCCUUCUGUGGUACUAAAUUUAGCAGUAGGUAUGAUAAAUCGUGCGUGAAGGAAAAAAAAAAAAAAAAAAAAAGGAAGAAGGAAUUUGAUCUAUUCAUAUUUUGCAAGGAACUGAAAGAAUAUUUACAUUAUUCGUUCCAUUAUUUCUCCAUGCAAAUAAGGUGUAAUUUUUGGUUUUUAUAUGAAAAGUUUCUAAAUCUCAAACUUAUUAUGAACUUAUUUACUUCCAUUUUUCAUUCAAUUGUAAAGAACUCUAGAUUUGGUUUCUUUUGAGUAGCACGGGAGUUACAACAAAAAUUAGUUAUCCCCGAUUUCCCUAUCUAUUUAUUCAUUUUCUUUUUCGAUAUACAAGGGUUAACAAGAGCACGAUUCUCUAGUGUGACAUAACAUAUUUGGGUAGCACCUUUAAAGGGAAAAAAUAAUUCUUUCUUUCCUUCAAUUGCCUGUUUGAUUGCAAAGAUGAGAUUUUGGUGGAAAGAAAACGAAUUUCAGGGAAUUGAAUUGUCUAGAAAUUGUUUUCUUGGGAAUUGCUAAUUUAUUGUGUUUGAUUGAUAGAAAAUGUUGAAAUAAGAGUGUUUUUUGGUGUUCGUUUGACUUUGUUUUACACGAAAAUUGUCGAUGCAAGGGAUUAAAUUUACUGAUAUUGCGGAUAGAAUUUAUUUCCAUUACCAAAAAAAAGGAAAAAAAAUCCAAAAAUCAUCCAUGUUUUAGUGUUCAUUUUAUUUUGUUUUAUAUGAAAACUGUCAAUUUAAGGGAUAUUCUCUUUUACAAUUGGUCCUAGAAUUUAUUUACAAUGCAAAAAAAAAAAAAAAAAAAAAAAAAAAAAAAAAAAAAAAAAAAAAAGAGAGCACCUAGAAUUCACUUUCCCACCAUAUAGGUGGGAAAACCAAUUCCUUGAUUUCGAGGAAAAUAGGCGCGUUGGAGGGUAGCAUGGAAAAUGAAUUCCAUGAAAAUUCUUGCCCAUCAAACACUCAAAUGUGGAAGAUGCAAAUUAAUUUCCAUUGUCCAUGGAAAUUCUUGCCUAUCAAAUAGAGCCAGGAUUUAUGGUGGGAACUGGAAAUUGAAUACAAGCAUAUUUGGUUGAGUUAUUCCCUAGUGGGCCUUUGAGAGCAAAACAAAAUCAUUUGAUAUGUACACCACUUUUCUGAUGAUUCCAUUAAUUUGAUUAAGCUAAGGUCUACGUUCAACCAACCUUCCCUAUAAGUAGAGAUGUUGUUAUGACUAAUUCUCAUCAAUCUUACUCUCUCUCUGAAACCAACAAUAUUUUGAUUACAACUAAGAGACACAUCUGAUACACAUUCCCUCUCAAUAAACUCUCUAUCUGAUCAGCAUUUUGUCCAAACCAACAAUACUUGAUGGGUUUCUCUUACGAAAAUCUGUCACUUCUAGUCACAAGCCCAGAUCUCCUUUCCCAUCUGCAAGAUUUAAAGCUUGAUGGAGGAGAAAAACUUGUUAACUUUCAAUGGUUAGGGCCACACUUUUUAGCUUUUCUCAAAUAUGCAAAAGAACUGCACGAGGAUUUGAUAAUACCCGAAGGGAAUGACUUCAGCCCGAGAUUUAUUGAUCUGCUGAAGUGUCUUGAUGAUGCAGCCUCCAACUGCAUCUUAUAUGGAGAGACCGAACAUUACAAAAACUUUUUAGAAAUCAUUCUCUCUUUCAUGCCAUACAUUAAGAAGCUUUUCACUCUUCAAAACACGCUGGAAUUUGAAUGUAAUGGUUAUGGCGAUCCACAUUAUGUGCUUCGGGAAAGCUUUAUCAACUUUCUUUAUGAAACUAUUGGAGAAUUGCUUAAUUGCGAAACAUAUUCCAGUGUUCUUGUGAGUAAUCAAGUCAAAGUUCUUUGGAAGGAGCUGAAAUUUCUGCUAACUUUUUUUGUUGAUACAAUGCAAUAUACAUCCGAAAUGGAACAGCAACAGAUCGAGCAGAUGUUUGAAGGGAAUACAAUCACAGAAAUUGGACAUGUAUACGACACAGUAGGGGUUUUCUUGCAUAAGUUGUUUUUCACCACAGACCAUGUUACCACUACCGAAAUGGAUGAGCCAAUUUUUCUUCUGUUAAAAAGGAUUGCGUCUGUGCAAAAGGAGAUAAAAAAUCACUACAUUGAAGUCUCAAUGAAGCUGACUUGCGGAAAUGGAAGCCUACAAAUUGCAGAAAGUCAAAGUGAAGUAUCAUCAUCCCAACAUAAAAACAUUCCUAUGGCAGAAGAGAUGAUUGUGGGCUUCGAGGACGUGACAACACAAAUUGCAAGUAAGAUUCUUGGAGGACCAAGCUACCGCCAGAUUAUUUCCAUCGUUGGAAUGGGUGGUCUUGGCAAGACAUCUUUAGCAAAGAAAGUGUACAAUGAUUCCAACGUUCGGAACUAUUUUGAUAUGCUUUCUUGGUGUGUUGUUUCUCAAACUUACAAAAAGAGAAAGCUGUUGAUUGACAUUUUGAGCUCUGGAACUAACCUUAACAGAGAAGAACUUUCGAAAAAGGAAGACGAAGAAUUGGCCGAACUUCUUUACAAAAAUUUAAAGGGGAGAAGAUACCUCAUUGUUAUAGACGAUCUGUGGGAUAAAGAAGCGUGGGAUGAUUUGAAAAGGUUAUUUCCUGAGGACAAAAAUGGAAGCAGAGUAUUGUUCACCAGUCGGCAGAAAAAUGUGGCAUUGGAAAUUUCACAAGUUAUUCUUGAACCUCCUCUCAUGUCACCAGGUGAAAGUUGGAAUUUAUUAGAGCAGAAUCUGUUCAAGAGUGACCGUUGCCCUCAAGAACUGCAAGAUAUUGGAAAGCAAAUUGCAACAAAUUGUCAUGGACUUCCUCUUUCGGUUGUCACGAUAGCUGGAGUUCUUUCAAAUAUGGAGAAGAAAGAAAGCUUAUGGCAAGAUGUUGCAAAAAGUUUAAGUUCUUACAUUUCCCAAAAAGCCGACGACUAUCUUCCCACAUUGAAACUUAGUUACAUGCAUUUACCAAAUCACCUGAAACCAUGUUUCCUCUAUCUUAGUGCAUUCCAGGAAGACGAGGAAAUUUGGGUUAAGAAGCUAUUAUUAUUCUGGAUAGCUGAAGGUUUCAUAGAAAAAAAAGAGCACAAGAGCUUAGAAGAUAUUGCUGAGGAAUAUCUAGUAGAACUAAUUGACAGGAGCCUGCUGCAAGUUGCCACAAGAAGGUCUAACAAUGGAGUAAACGCAUGUACUCUUCACGAUCUAGUGCUCGACAUGUGCAGAAAAAUGGCGGUAGAAGAUGAAACAUUUUUGUUUCAACAGUAAGUUAACUCACUCUCUUUCUAAUUUCUUCUCAUUUUACUUUUCUUUUCCAAUUUAGCCCUAUUAAUUUGAGAUAAUUAUGUCAAUGAUGAUGUUGCUGUUGCUGUUGCUGAUGCUGGUUGAUGUGGUUGAACUGACGAUAAUGCUCCAUAUUCUUAUUAUUUUACUUCUUUAGCCAAUUUUUGAUAUCUAAGCUUCGCCAUCGCUUGUGUAUGGAUCGGGUCUCACCUGCCUUAUCCAUUCUUUACAAUUCUGAAAAAGUAAGGAUCUUUGAUCAAAGAUAUUAUUCAAGUAUUCUACUAGGGAUCAAAAUUAUGCCUGACUUGAGGUACUUGGCUAUUCCAUCAUUAGAUUCAACAAUAAGCAGACUUCAGAACCUAGAAGUUCUUCGUGUGGGAGUUAAAAGAAUACCAGCAUACCUUCUCAGUAUGCCUAAGUUGAGACAUCUAGAUGUCGGAACCUUUGAGACACAUGCAAAGUUCAGUAAGAAUUGUGAUUGCUCCCAAAUAAAUAGCCUACAAACCCUUUUUCACGUUCGCAUUGGCAAUUCGAAACAUGAAGAAAUCUUGAGGUGUUCUCCAAAUCUUCUUGCCCUUAAAUGCAAAUCUUCAAACAAUUUCGUUCCCAAUUUCAACUUUCCUUCUCAGCUUCAAUCACUCACAUUUAUAGGACAUGAAUUCAAAAUUGAUUACUCAGGGGUUAACUUCCCCAAGAAUAUCAAAAAACUUAGUCUUAGUUCGCUCUUUUUGCCAUGGGAAAAGAUGUCAUUAAUUGGGACACUUCCCAACCUCGAGAUUUUGAAAUUAGGUUCAAGAUCAUAUGAAGGAGAAAUUUGGAGCACAAAGGAUGAUGAGUUCCAAAAACUCAAGUUCCUUAGAUUAUGUAACCUGGAUCUUGAAGAGUGGAAUUCCUCACACGAUCAUUUCCCUGUACUUGAACGACUGGUGUUGUAUUUUUGUAAAAACUUGGACAAAAUUCCUCCCGAGUUUAGCAAUAUUCUAACACUACAGAAGAUCGAGGUAGAUUAUUGUGGUGAAAAUGUCGGAAGUUCAGCUUUGAAAAUUCGUGAAGAACAACAGGAUUAUGGUAACGAAGAGUUUGAAGUGACCAUCAGUAAUGAAAGGUAAAGAGAGUCUCUGUUCUACUGGUAUAAAUCAAAGCUCAUCUCAUACUUUUUCUGUUGGAAAAAAAAUAUAUUUUUAUUAUUAUUUAUUUGAUUAACAUUUUUCUUUUUGCUAGUUCCAUAUUCUUUUCUUUGCAGCGAACGUGAAGUUACAACUACUUAAAAUUAAAUAGUGGCCUAAUUGCAAAAUUGUAUUAUUUUAUGAUUAAUUUGACGAGUGAUCAGAUGAGCCUCAAAUCUUUUGCCUUGUGGUUUACUAUUAUUUAUUUUCUUUUCAUGUAGUUCUCUACUGCAUUAUUUCGAAUGUAUUAUUUAAUCAAACUGGGCAAUACAAAUUGGUCCGAUUCAUUUAGAAUAGGUUUGACUCCAAGUAAUAUACUUUAGAAACCUAGUCCAGUCCAUUGCUUUCUGGCCCAACUGUGUGAUUUUAUAAUGCUGGUUGGUAUGUGAAUUUCUAGCCAUUGCCUUAACAUUUAUUUGCCUCCAAAUUUUGAUUGAUUCCAUGUCUUAGUAAUGGGAGAGAUCAUAAGAACUAUUUUUUCGAGUUAUUCAAAUAGAGUUGUCUUGCAUUUUAAUAAUCUUUAUUUGUCCAUCAUUUGUUGCAAGUCGCGAUAAAAAGAAAAGGGAAAAAAGAGAAGUCAUCUCUUUAGGUAUUUUGAAUUAUCUAACUCAAAUAUUUCACAACGUC